GACAAACGCUGGCGGCAUGCCUAACACAUGCAAGUCGAACGGACAGAACAAGGAAGCUCUUCGGAGUGGAACUGGAAAGUUAGUGGCGGAUGGGUGAGUAACGCGUGGACAACCUACCUUGUAAAGGGGAAUAACCUCGAGAAAUCGAAGCUAAUACCCCAUAAUAACCUUGCUUCGCAUGAAGUAAGGAGGAAAGGCGGCCUUAGCGCUGUCGAUACAAGAUGGGUCCGCGUCUGAUUAGCUAGUUGGUGAGGUAAAGGCUCACCAAGGCGACGAUCAGUAGCCGGCCUGAGAGGGUGAACGGCCACAUUGGGACUGAGACACGGCCCAAACUCCUACGGGAGGCAGCAGUGGGGAAUCUUCCGCAAUGGGCGAAAGCCUGACGGAGCAAUGCCGCGUGAGUGAAGAAGGCCUUCGGGUUGUAAAACUCUGUCCUUAUCGAAGAGAGAGUGUUGUAGUAACUGACAAUACUAGGACGGUAGAUGAGGAGGAAGCCCCGGCUAACUAUGUGCCAGCAGCCGCGGUAAAACAUAGGGGGCAAGCGUUGUCCGGAAUCACUGGGCGUAAAGGGCGCGCAGGCGGUAAAUUAAGUCAGGUGUGAAAGUUCGGGGCUCAACCCCGUGAUUGCACCUGAUACUGAUAAACUAGAGUGUUGGAGAGGUAAGUGGAAUUCCUAGUGUAGCGGUGGAAUGCGUAGAUAUUAGGAGGAACACCAGUGGCGAAGGCGACUUACUGGCCAAUAACUGACGCUGAGGCGCGAAAGCGUGGGAGCAAACAGG
rnacentral:rRNA from 1 species